rnacentral:lncRNA from 1 species
GUCGCGAGGAGCUGGGGAGCCUUAUAGUUUUCGGAAAUGGACUCGUGGUUCGAUGACAUGGCAACGCAAGGCUCGGUGAGUUGGCAUUCUAGGUGGCGUAAGCGUGGUAGGUUGCGUCCCUUCGUCCUUCGUGGCGGUUGAUGUACGCGUGGCAUCCGCAUGACUGUGACUGUUCAGAAAUUGGUGAAUAGGCAUGAUGAAUGGACACUUCACUUCAUGGUUCAAUCUGGGCUGUCAGAUCAUGAAAAUAGUGCGAUCCAAUGGCUAAGACGAAUCAGACCAAGUGGUGCACCAGUUCCUGAAAUGUCACACACCUAUUCCAUGAGACACUUCAAUCUCUAUAAAUAGAGAACCCCAGAUUCGUUUUUGACACACCAAAUCAAUUACAAAUUCAAUUGAUUUCUAAAUUCUUCUCUCUCUAUAUUCUG